UUUAGCGCUGGAUAAGGAAAGAAAUAUAUCUGCAAGCCGCUGGUUGAGGUUCAGGCUUAAUCGAAAAUGAUAGAUAUAGAUACAAUUUAGCACAUACAUAGAUACAUGCACAGCUGGACUAUUUGUGAGUGCGUGCGGGUCGACUGGUUCCUGUGUCCUGCUUCCUUUGCCUGUACGUGCAUGUAACUAAAUUAAGGAAAGACCUGUGAGCAUCAAGCAACGGCUAACGGGCCCAAGAACAUUUGAAGAUGACCGCCAUGCGAACUGAAGUACUCAUUCUGCUUCCUUCGCUCUUUACUGUUGCUUUCGGCGGUGGGCCUAUUAAGGAACCGAUAGAGUUACGAGGGUAUUACCCGGAUAACGCAGGAUAUCGCAACGUUUUUGUAGGGUGUAGGUAGGAGCCGGGACAACCAGUAUUGCCAGAAGCAAAGGCUCUAUGAUGAAGAGACAUUUCGCGACUUUUCAGAUAGGAUCCAUCUGCUUGCUACCUAUAUCGGGGUAAAAGACACUGCAUCUUCGAGAGCGAGGAUGGUUGGCACUACAAUUGGUUCUACCGAACCUGCUUUAAGGAUGACCUUACGCACUGUGGUGUUGGUGAAAAUAAGUUCCAUAGUUGUGAGCAGUGCGUGAAUAAAUGCAGAGUCUCGGUGUGUGCUGAAAAAGCGAAGCCGCCGCCUUCGUGGAGCCCACCAUUCACACUUGGAGGAAUGUGACUUUAUUUGGUUUUACUUCAAUUGAAUGAUUUAGAUACCUAUGUAUACCUGUCUGUCUAUCUUAAAGAGAACUAACAGACAGUAAUGCCAAGGCCGCUGUAGGGGAUGGUAUUGAUAGUAAUUAGGAUGUAAAUGUGAAGAAAGUGAAGUGCACGAAAAGUGGUUCGGUGACCUGCGACCGUCGAAUAACGCGUACGAUGCUCUACCACUGAGCUACGGCGGCUGUAAUACCCCCGUGCACUUUUAUGGGGUAUAUAUGUGGAUUUAAACCUAGGAGUUAUAGGCAACGUAAUGGGGGGGGGGGGGGGCAAUCUACCGGGACUUUCAACAGUGGUCAUUGUAGGCUACGCAACAGAAAACCUAAAACUAAGGCGAAGUUUCAUUCAACACAGCAAUCACAUAAAUAUUUAAUAAAAUUUGUCUUAGCUUCGGCUAUGAAGAUUGUCCUCCGUAAAUCACGACGGACCACGCACUGUAGGAUCUCACUGUGCCGGCCGCUAACGCGACGCUUGAGAGCAUUGCGCUCCGGCACUGCAUAGGAAGCUACUGCUGAGCUAUGGUUCAAUAAAGUUGGAGCACGGCGUCAUGCUUUUAAUCUGCUCUGCCUUGCCUAAAAUGUACACAAUCGACGACGCAGAUACGCGAGGGAACCAGCAAACGUUUUAAGGACCGAUGAAAUAUUCUUCCUGUUUCAGAGAAUUCAUUUUCUUUAUUCGAAAAAGAAUAGCGUUGCCCUACUUUGAGUCAAUGAAUGCGCAGUAUUGUUUUAGUUGGGCCAAUCUGGAAGAGCUAAAAACGGUUUCUGCUUUAGUAUCCGAUUAACCUGCUUCGCCUUGCUUAUCAUAUGGUAGCUUGCAGCGAUCGUGGCGGCUUUCAACAUGGGGAUAAAUAAGGUAUUUGACUAGUGCAGAGUGCGAUCCCAUCUUUCAAGCUUGCCCCUCAACUUGAUCUACCAUCGUGCAAAGACGACAACAAGGCCCAUAAUUCCCAGCCAACAUACAAUACUGACAGCGCCAUCGUAUAAGCACGGCAAGAAAGGCACAUGAUUCCCAGCCAACAUGUAUUAUUGGCAGUGCCAUCGUACAAGGACCGCAAUAAGGCGCAUGAUUCGCAGGCAACAUAGAAUACUGGCACAGCCAUCCUGUAAGGACGGCAACAAUGGAAUACCGUUGCCAGCCAAAGCACAAUAUUGGCAGCGUCGUUGUAUAAAGAUGGCAAAAACAGUCCAUCGUUGUAAGUCAUAAAAAAGUGGAACUUCUAUUCUGCGUUGGAAAUACAACGCAGUGCUUUUGCAGAGCAUUGCGAGAAGCACGACCACAAAAUUGACUUCGAGGGCGCUUCCAUCAUAGAAACGGAAAGGAAUCUG
rnacentral:misc_RNA from 1 species